rnacentral:rRNA from 1 species
UACAGGGGGGUGCAAGCGUUAUUCGGAAUUAUUGGGCGUAAAGAGCGCGUAGGCGGUUUACUAAGUUUGGUAUGAAAUCCCUGGGCUCAAUCCAGGAAGUGCAUUGAAUACUGGUAGACUUGAGUAUUGGAGAGGCAGGCGGAUUUCCCGGUGUAGAGGUGAAAUUCGUAGAUAUCGGGAGGAACAACAGUGGCGAAGGCGGCCUGCUGGACAAUUACUGACGCUAAGGCGCGAGAGCGUGGGGA